rnacentral:rRNA from 1 species
UGAAGAUGUAGAUGGUCUGGCCUGCUCACUGAUAAAUUAUUUAAGAGCCGCGGUAUAUUGACCGUGCAAAGGUAGCAUAAUCAUUAGGGGUUUAAUUGGAACCUGGUAUGAAGGGUCGGACAAAGGAAAAACUGUCUUUAUAGCUUAAGUUGAAAUUUACUUUUAGGUGAAAAGGCUUAAAUGAAUCAAAGGGACGAUAAGACCCUAUAAAGGUUUAUAGACAAUUUAAUUUUGGUUGAUUUAAAAAAUAAAAACUAAAUUUAAUUAUUCUAUUUUGUUGGGGUGAUGUGAGUAUAAUUGUUAUUAACUGCUUAUAAAAAAUUCUCUUAUAGGAGAGUCAAUAGUGAAGGAUCCUUUUUAAAGAUUAAAAGAAUAAGUUACUUUAGGGAUAACAGCGUUAUUUCUUUUGAGAGUCCGUAUCGAGAAAGAAGAUUGCGACCUCGAUGUUGAAUUAAAAUAUCUAUAUAAUGCAGCCGUUAUAAAAGAGGGUCUGUUCGACCUUUAAAUU